ACUGUUAGACUUGAGAAUGGACGAGGUAGGCGGAAUUCGUAGUGUAGCGGUGAAAUGCAUAGAUAUUACGAAGAACUCCAAUAGUGUAGACUGCUUACCAGACCAUAUCUGACACUAAGGCACGAAAGUGUGGGUAUCAAACAGGAUUAGAUACCCUGGUAGUCCACACAGUAAACGAUGAAUACUAACUGUUUGCGAUAUACAGCAAGUGGUCGAGCGAAAGCGUUAAGUAUUCCACCUGGGAAGUAUGCCGGCAACGGUGAAACUCAAAGGAAUUGACGGGGGCCCGCACAAGCGGAGGAACAUGUGGUUUAAUUCGAUAAUACGCGAGGAACCUUACCCGGGCUCGAACGAUAUUUGAAUACAUCCGAAAAGAUGUAGCUAGCAAUAGCAAAUACCGAGGUGCUGCAUGGUUGUCGUCAGCUCGUGCCGUGAGGUGUCGACUUAAGUGUCAUAACGAGCGCAACCCUUACCGAUAGUUACCAUCAGAUAAUGCUGGGGACUCUAUUGGGACUGCCACCGUAAGGUGUGAGGAAGGAGAGGAUGACGUCAAAUCAGCACGGCCCUUAUGUCCGGGGCGACACACGUGUUACAAUGGGAGAAACAAAGGGUCGCUACCUGGCAACAGGAUGCUAAUCUCGAAAAUCUCUCUCAGUUCGGAUUGGAGUCUGCAACUCGACUCCAUGAAGCUGGAUUCGCUAGUAAUCGCACAUCAGCCAUGGUGCGGUGAAUACGUUCCCGGGCCUUGUACACACCGCCCGUCAAGCCAUGGAAGCUGGAAGUACCUGAAGUAUGUAACUAAAAGAGCGU
rnacentral:rRNA from 1 species